rnacentral:rRNA from 1 species
AACGAACGUUGGCGGCGUGGAUUAGGCAUGCAAGUCGAACGAGCCUCAGCGGGGCAACCUGCUGAGGAAAGUGGCGAAAGGGGCAGUAAGGCGUGGGUAACCUACCCCGGGGCUCGGAAUAGCCAUCCUAACGGAUGGGUAAUACCGAACGCCCUGAACUGGGGGCCUCCUCGGUUCAGGAAAGCUCCGGCACCCCGGGAGGGGCUCACGUGGUAUUAGCUAGUUGGUGGGGUAACGGCCCACCAAGGCCGAGAUGCCUAGCGGGUGUGAGAGCACGACCCGCGCCACUGGCACUGGGACACUGGCCAGACUCCUACGGGAGGCUGCAGUCGAGGAUCUUCGGCAAUGGGCGCAAGCCUGACCGAGCGACGCCGCGUGGGCGAUGAAGGCCUUCGGGUUGUAAAGCCCUGUCGCGAGGGGGAAAAACCGAUCCCCCUCGGGAGGAAGCACGGGCUAAGUUCGUGCCAGCCGCCGCAGUAAUAC